rfam:Thermoproteus tenax Kra 1, complete genome
GCGGGGGUGCCCGAGCCAGGUCAAAGGGGCAGGGUUGUCGGCUCAGCCGGCCCAGAGGUCCCUGUGGCGUAGGCCUGCGUGGGUUCAAAUCCCACCCCCCGCA